CGCAAUGGGCGAAAGCCUGACGGAGCAACGCCGCGUGAGUGAUGAAGGUCUUCGGAUCGUAAAACUCUGUUAUUAGGGAAGAACAUACGUGUAAGUAACUAUGCACGUCUUGACGGUACCUAAUCAGAAAGCCACGGCUAACUACGUGCCAGCAGCCGCGGUAAUACGUAGGUGGCAAGCGUUAUCCGGAAUUAUUGGGCGUAAAGCGCGCGUAGGCGGUUUUUUAAGUCUGAUGUGAAAGCCCACGGCUCAACCGUGGAGGGUCAUUGGAAACUGGAAAACUUGAGUGCAGAAGAGGAAAGUGGAAUUCCAUGUGUAGCGGUGAAAUGCGCAGAGAUAUGGAGGAACACCAGUGGCGAAGGCGACUUUCUGGUCUGUAACUGACGCUGAUGUGCGAAAGCGUGGGGAUC
rnacentral:rRNA from 1 species